GGAGGCAGCAGUAGGGAAUAUUCAUAAUCUGCGAAAGCGGGAACCAGCAACGCCGCGUGUGAGAAGAAGGCCUUCGGGUUGUAAUGCACUUUUCGGGAGGAAGAGGAAGGACUGUACUCCCGGAAUAAGUCUCGGCUAACUACGUGCCAGCAGCCGCGGUAAUACGUAGGAGGGCAAACGUUAUCCGGAUUUACUGGGCGUAAAGCGCGUGCAGGCGGUUUGGUAAGUCAGACGUGAAAGCUCCCGGCCUCAACUGGGAGAGGUGCGUUCAAUACUGUCAGACUUGAGGAUGGUAGAGGGAAAGGGAAUUCCAGGUGUAGUGGGGAAAUGGGCAGAUAUCUGGAGGAACACCAGUGGCGAAAGCGGCGUCCUGGACCAUUCCUGACGCUCAGACGCGAAAGCUAGGGUAGCAAACACGAUUAGGAUACCCCGGUAGUCCURGCUGUAAACGAUGUGAACUGGCUGUCGGGGGGUAUUAAAUCCAUCGGUGU
rnacentral:rRNA from 1 species